UAGGACAAUAUACUAAAUAAUCUCACUAAAUGUAUAAAAUAAUAAUAUUUUUAAAAAUCCUUAAGGCCCAAAUAAAUAUAAAUUAAUAACUAAUGAAAUAUAUAUAGAUCAAACAAAAAUUCAUAAUAUAGCAAAUAAAAUUUCAUAAUGUAGUAUUGAGUAACAUUUUAUAACUUCCAAUUUUUUCAAUUUAUUUGAAUUAUCAUAUACUUGAAACCUAUUGUAUUUUAAGAUAUUCAAUUUUGAUACCACAUUUCUUUUUGUUUAAAAGUUUUUCUAUCUUUUACGAUUAAUAAGCAUGUGUUUCUCAAGUUUUCACAUAUUAACUUUUUAUCACAUUCAUUCUUUUGUACAAGUAUUAUACAAUAGAAACAUAAUACUCUUUAUAAAUUAAUAAAUAUUUGUUUAUUGAUAAAUUAAUAAAUUUAUAGAUAAAUUAAUAUCCUCAUCAAAGGUUUAUGUAUUAAUUUGAAUGGUUAGUACAACAUGCAAAUUAAAUUACAUUUGAAUUAUUUGUAAAGGAUUUUUUUGUAUAUAUAAUUUUACUUUUAAAAUUGGUUGCAAAAAACACUCUUCCAAGUAGGAAUGGCAAUGGGGAGGGUUUAGGACGGGUCAUUCCCAUCCCAUUCCCACACCCGAUUAUACAGUUAUUUCCCGUUCCCGACACAAACCCGUAUUGGGGCAGGUUGAUUAGUUCCCAUCCCUGUUAACAAAAGAAUUAAUAACCCCAUCCCCACCCCGUCUCGAAUGUCCAUUAGCCCUAACCCUAACUGGCGAUGAGCAAAUCUCAUACCCAAAUACACUUUCCUUUCACUGAUUAUGAUAAUAUUCCAAAUAUGAAAAAAUAACAUCAAGUUGAAAUUAACACCACAACAAUCAAUAAUUUUAAGCCCAUAGUUAGCUUAAAUGAUUCAAAAUUAAUGCAAAACACAUAAAAAAAAAAACCAUCUGAACCAUUUACAAGAUAACAGAAUGAAAACUGAACCAAAUGAGAAAAUGGGUCAAUAUCAGUCAUAGAUGUGAUUCCCUUUUCAAGCCAAUCUUUAAACCAAGAUUUCAUCAAAUCCACUACUUCAAAGGAUUUCACGUUCCUUUUGUGUGUGUGAUCUCGAACAAAGACUUCAAGAUGCUCUAGAUGAUUGUGUUGCACAUAUUUAAGGCAAGGAGAUCGAAGUCUGUGACUAGUUUCAUGUCGCGAAAGAGGGGUUUUAGGCUCUGAGGCUAAACCAAGAGCAAGAUGGAAUUGAUUUCAGAGUAUUUUAGUUGGUGUGAGGGAAGAAGAAAAAAUAGUAUUGAUCCUGGAAAUAGGGUUUCAAGCAGUGCAUCAGAAGAAGAAGAAGAAGAAGAAGAAGAAGAAGCAGUUGUCGAAAUUAGGGUUGGGAAGAAUGAAAGACCAUUAUAUCAGAGGAAAAGAUGAGAAGGAGCGGCCAUCAGAAUUAAGGCAAGAAUUAGGGCAAAUGGAGAAGAAUGAAGUAUAUAUAUAUCGGGACUUUUUUUACAUUUAAUAGUUGUUGAAGGAUAAUUUUGUAAAUGUAUAUUCGGGGUAGGGUGGGGCGGGUUGGAACAAAAUCCAUACCCGUCCCAAACCCGAUUCGGGUUUUUAAAAUAUUCCCAUACCUGACCUAUGCCCGUUUAUUAUAUUUUACACCCGUCCCAAUAGGGUCGAGGUGGGGCGAGUUACCUGAUUAGCCCAUAAAAUUGUCAUCCCUACUUUCAAGAAAUGAAAAAGAAAAAUUUACCAUUACUGCUCCCUUGAUAACUGUUUCCUUUGAAUGACCGAACAUGGAAGUUCCUUUAAUCACCAAGAACAUUACAUCAAUGAAAUCUUGUUUGUUGCGCCCUCAUUGAUGAGCCUCAUUACAUGUUCUUCCACCCAACCUCCUAUGUUAAAAAGCAUUCUGAAACUUCUAGAUUGCCACAUGGUGUUGAAUAAUAGGCUAGGUUGUUAGGGUUGGUUUCUUAUUUUUGUAUAAAAUCCUUGUAACCUACUUUUAAUAAAAUAAAGAGACAAAGACAAAGAAAGUCUACUCUACUCGUAUUUUGUCCUCUAUUCCUUUUCAUCUAUUCAUUUUCCUUUGUUUCUCUCAUAUGGUAUUACAGCUUUCAACUUAGAGCUCUUCAAUGGCAAAUUCACUAGAAACCUCUUUCGAUUCUUCCUUUCCUCUCAAUCCUGUUAUCAGUUCUUCAAGUUAACUAGCUAUAGUAAAACUCACGGAUGAAAAAUUUCUUGUCUAGAAACAACAAGCUCUCACCGUGAUUUAAGGCUUUGGUUUAGAGGGAUUUAUUAAUGACACCUUUAUUUGUCCAUCUAAGAUGACUUCUAGUGUCAAUGGAAGUCCGCAGUUGAUGAACCUUGAGUAUGCGACUUAGCAGAGACAAGAUCAAUUACUUGUCUCUUGGCUUCUAUCUUCAAUGAACGAGAGUAUUCUACAUAGAUGGUAGGUUGCAACAUUGAUACUGAUAUUUGGAGAACCCUUAACAAGGUCUUUGCAAUACAAUGCAAAGCCAAGAUUAUGCGAUACAAGUUUCAGAUCCAAAGCCUAAAGAAAUCAAGCUUGACAAUGAGAGAAUAUCUUCUCAAAAUGAAAAUGUAUUAUGAUACUUUUACUUCAAUUAGGCAUCAAAUCUUAGAAGAAGACUAGAUCCUCUAUAUCUUUGCUGGUCUUAGCAUUGAAUAUGAUUCUGUGGUUUCAGUUAUCACUUCUAAAGUUGAAUCUCAUUCUUUGAAAGAUGUACAAGGAUUGCUGUUAGCCCAAGAAAUUGAAUUGAGCAGCAUUUGGUGAACUCUAAGGGAUCUCAACCAUUAAUGAAUCUCGUUUUAUAGAAUCAACAAAAAAUGAUUCAAUAAUGGGUUCAAAGGUUUAAUCAGAGUACUUUUCGAUCCUAUCGAGGAGCAUAAUAAUUUCAAAAUAAUAGAGGACAAGGUCGUGCUGGUCAUGGAGGAGGUCAUUCAUGGAAUAGUGGUUCUAAGCCACAAUGCCAGCUCUAUGGAAAAUUUGGACACACUGUCCAAAACUGUUACCAUCGUUUGGACCCAAAUUUCUCUGGGUUCACAAAUAGGCCAGUCUCUACAAACAACAAUGUUGGUAAAAACACAAGUUCGAUGGCUACAAUGUUAACUACUCCAAAAUUGCUUGGAGAUGACAACUAGUUUCUAGAUUCAGGAUGAACAAAUCAUGUUACAAAUGACCUUAGCAAUUUGAACUUUGGUUCUGAGUAUCAUGGUAUAAAUAAGAUCCACAGGGGUAAUGAUGCAGGUUUGAUGAUUGCUCAUUCUGGUUUUUCCUUACUUUGUUAUUUUGAUUCACCUAGAGUUUUUUCUUUAUCUAAUCUGCUACAUGUUCCCCACAUUAGUCACAAUCUCAUCAGUGUCAGUCAAUUUUCUAGAAAAAAUAAUGUAUCAUUUGAGUUUCAUCCAUCUAUUUUGCAUUGUGAAGAAUCUAGAAAUAGGAACAUCUCUACUUAAAGGGAGGCUACAUGAAGGGCUAUAUUGGUUCAACCUGUUCAAGGCUCAAUCAUCUUCAUUAACUAGUUCACAUUAGUUUUCCCUUAUUAUUUCUCUGAAAUAUAGUAGAAUAGGAGGUUGUGAUCCAAAUUCUCCUAUCUUUACUACUUUCCAUCAAAAUGAUGAUAAUGCUAAGUCAUUUGCUAUUUUGAGUUAUGGCAUAGGAAAUUAGGACACCCAACUCUCUCUAUUGUCAAAAAAGUCCUAUCAAAUUGUAAUUUGAAGUUUUCAAUGAAAGAGAAGGAUCAUUUUUGUUCUACCUAUCAAUUUGGCAAAAGUCACAAAUUGUCUUUCUCAAAUUCCUUGACUGUGUACAAUGAUCCAUUACAUCUAAUAUAAUUUGAUCUUUGGGGUGCUACUUCAGUGACUUUUAGGAAUGGGUUUAGAUAUUAUAUUAGCUUUGUUGAUGUUUAUUCAAGGUACACUUAGAUCUACUUCUUAAAAUCCAAAUCUGAAGUCACUCAAACCUUUCUACAUUUUAAGGCUCAAGUUGAAUUUCUCCUGAAUGGAAAGAUCAAAAUUCUUCAAAUUGAUUGGGGUGGUGAAUUUAGAUCACUAACUUCAUUUAUGCAAUCAACUAGAGUCACUCAUAAAUUAUCUUGUCCACAUAAUUCAAAACAAAAUGGUAUUAUAGAAAUGAAACAUAGGCACAUUGUAGAGACUAGUUUAAUCUUCCUAGCUCAAUCUUUUUUACCUUUGAAAUUUUGGGAUGAUGCUUUUGCAAUUGUUGUCUACCUUAUCAACAUGUUACCGACAUUAGUUCUUCAUGGACAGUCUCAUUUGGAGAAGCUUUUAAACACCAAACCUGAUUACUCCUUCUUAAAGGUAUUUGGUUAUUAAUGUUUUCUGUACUUGAGACCAUAUAAUUCUAAUAACAUGCAAUUUCGUUUAGUUCCUUGUACAUUUGUUGGAUGUAGUCAUAAGCACAAAGGAUACAAGUGUUUAGAUCUAAGUGGUAAGAUCUAUAUAUCGAAGCAUGUUACAUUUGAUGAAAACAUGUUUCCCUUUCUCUCAACAACUAUUCUUGAAUGUUCUACAGUCUCUAAUCAUGUUAAUACCAGCUCAUGGCUCCCAUUGUUGACCACAAUUCAUCCUACAAUUCAUCUUACUACUCUUUACACUAGGUUUGAUCAUAUUUCUCCUUGUUCUUUGAAAGAACUUGAUCUCUUUACAACUCAGAAGACAAACAAGUUCAGGAACUAGUAACAAUUUUACCUUAGUUCAAUCAAAACCAUUGGAAACUCAACAACCUGCCAUGGCACAAUAAGGGAAUAUCCACUUAAUGAGGACUAGGUCUAAAGUAGGGAUUUAUAAACCUAAAGUGCUGCUACCAAUUGACUUAUCUACUAUUGAGCCAACUGUAGUGUAGGAAGCUCUUCAAAGUCCCUUAUGGAAAACUGCUAUGUAGGAAGAAUAUGAUGCUUUGAUUACCAAUGGCAAAUGGUCUCUAGUUUCCCAACCUUCAAACAAGAAAAUUGUUGGUUGUAAGUGAAUUUUCAAACUUAAGAGACAUCCAAAUAGUUUUAUUUCUCAUUACAAGGCACGAUUGGUUGCAAAGGGGUAUUAUCAAAGGUCGGGUUUUGACUUCACAAAGACAUUCAACCUAGUAAUUAAACCAAGCAUCGUUCGGGUAGUUUUAAUAGUAGUUUUUGCUCAAAAUUGGGAGAUUUUCCAACUAGAUGUGAACAAUGCAUUUCUUAAUGGUAUUCUUCAUGAAACAGUUCUGAUAGAGCAACUCCAAGGUUUUGAGAAAUCUAUAAUUUUUGUUCCACUAGUAUGCAAACUUCACAAAGCCCUUUUGGAUUAAGGCAAGCUCUUCGGGCUUAGUUUGAUAAACUUAAGGAUUCACUCUUGUAACUUGGUUUUGUGAGUUCUAAAGCUGAUCAAUCAUUGGUUCUUAGAUUUACCUCUACUUCAUGUAUUUAUCUCUUGGUCUACAUCGAUGAUAUCAUUAUUACCGAAAAUGAUUCACUUGCAAUUUCCCCAUUUGAUACGUUCCCAAUUGGUGUCUCAAUUGAUCAUGUCCUCUCAAUGGUCCCUGACAGUGGUGCCAUUUGAUUCAUGUCCAGCUGGUGUCCCUUGAUUUUGGUCCUCAGGGAGUAAUCAACAAAAUUUAUAACCUAUUACACCAUGUACUAAGAUAGCCUUAGCUAGCAUAGCAUAGUAGCUCUAGGGUCGUUCACUGGGAUGGGUUUUCACUCCACAAUUGAUAUUAAUUCAAAGCUGAAUUGGUGUCUUUUCAUUUCAAGGUUAGCUUUAAAAGAAAACAUAAAGAUGUUUGAAUGGAAAAGGUUGGUUUUAAGUUAACCAAAAAUAGUAACUGAUUUUAAUUACAAAGAAAAGUGUUUCUUGGAGUUUCAGAUCAUUAGGCUCUGAUUCCUUGUACAAAAAGGGAGUUCCGGUCACUUGUUUCUUUUCCUCGCAUUAGAGAAUUAACAUAUAGUUAAUUCUCUAACCAGUGUGGUACAGAUGCUUCCCCUUAAUGGGUUCAAACACUAAUGCCCUCUCACCGAUGCACCUUGCAAUGGCUCAUGCCUCUCAUCUAGCAUUUUCCAUUCAAGGUGAUCUUUAAUCUUGGAUUACCCGUCAAAAGCUCGCAAGAGAUAACUAAUGGAUGUCUCCUUAGAGUCCAAAAGCUUACCAAGUGUUGUCUAUUCUAGAAAAUCCUACCUUCAAACCACCUCCCAAAGGCUCGCAAGAGAUAAACUAGUGUAUCUCAAUGGACGGAGACCACUUGCCUUAUCAAGUGUUGGCCUAGGUGAUUAAAAGGCGUUUUAAGUUAACUAAAAAGAUAAAAACCAUUAACGGGUCACACUUUCUCUUCAUUAAAAACUUAAAUAACAAAACUUCCAAUUUAUGCAUGUGGAAACUUACCCAGCUUUCUUCACUCCAAGAGACAAAGAGCCUAGCCUCUCAUCCUCUGAGAAAACAUCCUCAGAGUUUGAUUGACUAGAAAGAAAAAUAACAAGAAAACAAAAAUAUAUAGGAAAAACAGAGCAAGUGCUCUGUAAAAUAUAUUUCUUACUUAUACAAAAGGUUGUCUCUGAGAACAAGCUCCCGAGAGUAUUCAUUUUUUAUGUAAAGAAAAUUACAAACUAUAUAUAAGAGGUUAUUCACCCUUUGUUCUUGCUUAAAGACUAAGGAAUCCUAUGAUAGGUGGGUUACAAGGAGAGUUUGGGGAUUUAGACAUCAAAUAUCUAAAGAAAAAAAUCUCAAAAUGUCGGUCGCAAAUAUCGGGAAGCUUCAGGAGAAAUUCCACAACAAGAGCGAAAUUUCGCAACAAAAGGACAACAUUUUCGCAGCCAAAGGCUGAUUUCACAACCGUGUGAAAUUCGCCUUCAGCUUGGAGUGAUCGGCUUCCAAUGGCUGUAACUCCUUCACGAGCUUCAAAACGACAUAUAGCAUGCAUAAAUUGAACUCCAGGAAGUGCUCCAAAAGUGGCUUACAUGACAGUCAUCUAGAAUGCUUCAUGGUAGAUUUCUCUUUGCUUCCCCUCCUUGCAUUCCGGAUUUGCUUAUGGCAAAGGACUUUAAAGCUUCAAUACUUUGGUUCUUCAUGUUUCUGAGCUUUCCAUUUCUUUUGACAUGGAUUCCAAAGAACUCUCCUCAAUCUUGGAUUGCUUUGGUGAUCAAUUUACUAACAAAAACACCAAAACUUACACAAAGUGAUUAAAAAUGAUUGCAAAGGUCCUUAAUAUGUUAAUUGGGUUAAAAGGUAUUAACUACUACUCAAAAGUGUUUAAAAGAGUUAAUUACAAGCUAUCAAAUAGCACUUUUUGAGUAGUAAUCACCCAUUGAUCUCCCUAUUUAAUCAAACAUUUUCACUUAAGGACCUUAUCAUUCUCCAUUAUUUUUUAGGAGUUGAGGUUCAACAUACUAAAAUGGAGGAAUCUUACUCUCACAAGAGAAAUAUCUCACUGAUAUUUUAAGAAAGGCUAAGAUAGUUACAACAAAGGCAUUUUCAACACUUAUAGUUGGAGUUUUGAGACUCUUAGCACAUCGAAGUGAACCUAUUCUAAAUCCCAAGCUUUAUCGGAGUAUUAUAGGGGGUUUACAACAUGCUACUAUUACUAUACCUAGGAUCUCUUAUAGUAUGAAUAAAGUGUCUCAAUUUAUGCAUAAUCCGUUGAACUCUCAUUGGCAAGUUGUUAAAUGAAUACUUCGAUAUCUUAACGACACUCUUUAUCAUGGUCUUUAUCUUUCCAAACCAUCACAUUUGUUUCUUGAAUGUUUUUUUGAUGCGGAUUGGCCAUUUGAUCCUGAUGAUAUGAAAUCAACUUCAGACUACUACAUAUUUCUUGGACAAAACCUAGUCACUUGGAGCUCUAAGAAAAAAAACACCAUCUCUCGUUCUAGCAUUGAAACAGAGUACUAGAGCCUAGCAAAUGCUACUGCUGAAAUGGCAUAGCUGUAAGGAUUGCUGAAAGAACUACAAGUUCCACAACCUUAAACACCAAUCAUUUUGUGUGAUAACCUCAACACUGUAUCAUUAAGUACUAAUCCAAUUCAACACUCUUGGAUGAAACACAUUGAACUUGAUCUUUACUUUGUUUGUGACAAAGUUUUGGAGAAAACCUUGGUUGUUCAACAUGUUUCAGCCUAUGAUCAAACAACAGAUAUCUUCACAAAAACUCUCUUAUCAUCCUCAUUAUGUAGACUUCGUGACAAGCUAAACAUCGUCUCCCCCUCUAUGUUUCGCUUGCAGAGGAGUGUUAAAAAGCAUUCUGAAACUUCUAAAUUGUCAUGUGGUGUUGAAUAAUAAGCUAGGUUGUUAGGGUUGGUUUUUUUUUUGUAUAAAAUCUUUGUAACCCGCUUUUAAUAAAAUAAAGAGACAAAGACAAAGAAAGUCUUCUCUCUGCUCGUAUUUUGUCUUCUAUUCCUUUUCUUAUGUCUCUCUUCUUUGUUUCUCUUAUAUCCCACGAGAGAGUCCAAUUCCUUCGUCACCCGCUUUAUCAACCCUAAAUGCCCUUGCAAAUCCAUCCAUUCUACACAUGGAAUGACAUUCGACAAAACAAAAACCCUCGAUAAAGACAACAAUUUCUGAAUCUUUGCUAUAACUUGCCUUGUUUCCUCAUUUCCAUGGCCUGAAUGAUCAAAAUAUAUCUUCCUUGCGAUCAUCUUUAGGACUCUAUUGAAGUUGAGGUGUUGAAACCAUUCACACAUCAUUACCUUUACUGGAUGGACCCAAUUGUUGGCUUUUCCAAGUGAGUACAAAUCUUUAAUGGAAAGAUCCAAUUCCGAAACCUUCACAUGCUUUAAUGUAUCAAGGCGAUGGGUUGAGAGGAUUUCCAUCAUGGACGGCUUGCGCAUCUCAUGCCAAAGAGCUUAAUAAGGGGCGUAACUAAAUCCCGCAUAGUUUUAUCCUAAGAGCUUUCAUGCACUAGAACUUUGGCAUGAGGCAAAGGCCUUAUCAUUAGUGGUGAAGACAUUCUUUAACAGCCUCACGACUACUCACCACAAGUGCACUGUGCACUCUAAGGUGGAUCAUGAAGAUGGGUUGUGCUUAUUAGCCAUGGCUCCAAGGGUUUGAAAUUGUUGGAAAGAGUCCCAAAUUCCUAAUUAGUAAAAAUUUCUUUUAUGUAUAGAAUAUUUGUAUGGAAUAUUUCCUAUAUUCAUGUUGUUGUAAUAUUAAAUUUCCUUAUAGAAUAAGAAAAGUUAUUAUGAAUAUCUUUAUAGAUAUUUUAGGUCAUGAAAGGGAAAAAAAGUUAUAGAUGGAGAUGAAACUCGUAAAGACUAUAUGAGGUAGAUAGAGAUGUGAGGAAGAAUGAGAGAUAGUCAAUGGAGCGAAGGGACUUGUGGUUCAGGGUGUGAAUACAAAAAGUGGGAAAACAUAAAAUGUUUCGAGAACCCAAUAGUUGUAUUUAAUUUUUCCCUUUAUAAUAUUAUCUCUCAUAUUGGAUGUAGGUAUGUGUAGACCCUCCAUUUUGUCCCUUAGCACAUGCCCUAUGAGGUGUUCAUUCAGUACUCCACAAUAGUUCCCUAGUGGCCCAUCGCUACUCAUAUGAAUUACAUUUUUGAGCCACCUUGGAGAUUUUGGUUGAAGGAUUUAUUUGGCCUUUCAUUAUGACCGUUGGCGGCCCUAAGUAAGAUCUAGGAUUUUCCUUUCUAUUCUUUUUUUAGGAUAGCUCAUUUAGGUGCACCUUUAGGACGACAUACUUAGGCAUAUUCAGGUACAAUUUUUAGGCCACUUAGACACAUUCUAGAUCACCCUAUGUCACUUAGUCACUUUCCUAGAUCACUUAGGUUCACUUAGACACUUCUUAGGCACCUUCUAGAUUACACACACUCACCCUAGGUCACUUAGGCACCUUGCUAGUCACCUUAGGUCACUUAAGACCACCGAGUAACACCUUGGGUCAUUAAGGCUCACCAUAGGUCACCUAGGCACAUUACACUUCACCUUAGGUCACUUAGGCACAUUGUCCUGGUCAUCUUAGGUCACUUAGACACUUUUCUUAUCAUCCUUGGUCAUUUAGGCACUGUCUUGAUCACCCUAGGUCACUUAGGCACCUUUUAGGUCUAUUUAGGCCCAUUUAGACAACCCUAGGCCCACUUAGGUACACUUAGGCCCACUUAGGCUCACCUAGACCCAUUUAGGCACAUUUGACCCUUCAGGCACCACCCUAGGCCCAUCUAGGCUCACCUAGGCCCACUUAGGUUCACUUAGGCCCAACUAAGCAUACCUGGACCAUUAGAUAUCACCUUAGUCUCAUUUAAGCCCACUUGGCCCAUCUAGGCACCCUAGGCCCAUCUAGGCACACCUUGACCCACUUAAGUUUACUUGGCCUUGUCUAGGUCACCAUCUUGGCACAUCUUACAUGGCUUGCAUGACCUGUAUGGCUUGCAUGGCUUGUUUUUGUAUGGUUGCAUGACUUGACUUUUUAUUAUUAUCUUUUUAUUUAUUUUAUCUAUUAUCUGGUAUAUUUCCUCAUUUAUUUUAUUUUCCUUUUAUUUUUUCAUUUUUCCAUAAUACUUGUCCUUACUCAUCUAUUUUAAUUUAAUAAUUUUUCUAAAAUGUUUUUAUUUAACCUAGUAAUUUAGUAAAAUGUUUUUUUAUAUUUAACCUAAUAAUUUUGUAAAAUGUUUUAUCUCAUCUAAUAACUUUGUAAAACACUUUUAUUUAAUCUAAUCAUUUUCUAAAAUGCUUUUAUUUCAUUUAAUAAUUUUCUAAAACAACUUUAUUAAAUAUAAUAAUUUUGUAAAAUCUUUAUUUCUUUGUCAAUCCAAUAUUUUUUUGUUUAUUUUUGUAUUAAAUCUAUUAACUUUUAAAUUUUGAAGGGAAGUUCACUAAUGGAAAAAUAAUAAGGUGCCCACAGUCUGAAAUUUGGAGAAGGUGAUUCUCAUGUUGAUUCGAAGAGCAGACAUAUGAAAUAAAUGAAUUGAGCCAUGUUAUGAGGAAGAUUCGACUUACGUAUGAAAAAAAAAUGAUGGGUAGAAAAGAAAGAAUGUAAGUCACUUUUGGAAAAAGAAUCACGUGUUGAUGAAAGAGAUUUUCGGCAAUGUUCGGGAGUCAACAAAUGCUCGGGGCAUAAAAGAAAGAGAAAGGUUAUGUUUUAGGAAGAAUUGAAGUAACAUGUUCAGUAUAUAGGCUGAAAGGGAUUCAACAUGAAUUUUAGGGAAGGUAUAGGAGGUGUGCAUGGUCAUAUUGAGAUUGAAAUUUGGAAGGUGGGAUUUUCUUGGAGCAUGGUCAUUAGAAAUGGGAUGGAUACCAUAUUGAGAUUGGAAGGUAGGUGUGGAUGUUUUGGGAAAGUUUAAGGAAAGGUGGGCUCUAGGAGAUAAUGAAGCAAUUGAAGAUUGACUAUGCUUGGGAAAGGCGAUUGGAGUUUGAGGAUUUUUCUUUAGAAAAUGAGACUAUUGCAAAAGGUAAAAAGGAAAACUACCAAUUUGGUUUUGGAAGGAAUUAUAAGGCUAUUCGUUGAAUUAAGAAAGUGAGAAGGUUCUUGAGGGGCAAAUGAGAAGGUCAAUAAGCAUGUAGGAGGUGGGAUUUCCAACUGAGAUUAAGAGGACAGUUUUGGAGAGGAAUCAGCUUGUUGGAGAAAAAGAGGAAAAAAUGUGUUUUUCAAGGUGGAGGAUUAAGUCUUUUAGGAAGGAAAAGGUAUUUUUUUUUUUUUUAGAUAUUCAAUUGGUGAUAAAAGAAAAGGAGGAGAACAUGUUUCUAGGAGAGAGAUAGGCUAGUGAUACUUUAGGAGAGUAGGGAGUUUUCUGGAGAAAUGAGAUCCAACUUAGAGAGAGACAUAACAGGAUUCUCUGAGAACGUGGAGAACGCACCAGCAUAAGAGAUUGAUACACAAUAGGCUUUAGCGAAAAUUGAUACACAGUACAUACUUGUAGAUUUUUGAUGGAAUACUCACCAUCAAACACUUUUUUUCAUCAACACACCAAACAUCAUCAUUUUAUCUCCUUCUACCGAAGGUAAAUUUUGAAUGCAUUAGUUUGUGAUUUAUUUUCGAUUCUAAGUUUUGAUUUUUUUAUGGAACUUUGAUUGAUUAUAUUUAUUUUCAAUUUCAAGUUUCCAUAUUCCUUUAGUUGUGUGAUGAUAUUUUAGAUUUAAGAAUUCUUGAUUAAUUGUAUUAAUAUUUCAUAAUAUCCAAUUCCAAGUUUUGUUUGUUUUAAGAACUUGAUUGAACUUGAACAAAAUUUUGGAUUGCAUUUUGAGGAUUUUUUUAUAAAAGUAUAGUUUUUUUUUUUAAUAUGGUAAAUUGGAAAGUAUUUCCAAAUCAACGACAAUUUGGACCACAUCAACUACUUAUGUGGAGAAUAAACUAACAAGUAUGAUAAAUAUUCCUAAAAAAACCUAUUUUUCUUCUUUCAAUUUUCCUCAUUUCCUCCAAACCAAAAAAACCCUAGCCAUCCCCUUCUUCCCCAUUUACCUAUUUCCUUCAUUUGAUUUCACCUGCGUCAUACACUUGUUCUUCCCCCCAAAAAAAAUGAGAGUCUUGACAACCAUUUACCCACAACUCUAGAAGCAUCCAUCCUUCGACUAUCUCCUAGGCACAAUUGUCAUUCAAAUAUAAAAUGAAAUGUCGUAGGGACUGUGAUCAUAGAUUCAGAGACGUAGGAAAGACCAUCAAGAGUGAGUUUUUUUUGUGUUUUAUUUAUUUAUUUUUUCUGUUUGGUGUUGUGGCAUUGUUUGGUUGCUGAAAAAGUUGCAGUUUUUAUUUUAAGGAGAAGAAGGAGAAUAAGAGGGUGGUGAUGGAUUAGUGGAGUUGAAAGUGGUAAUUCAUAGUUUUUGUUGUUUAUUUUUUAGUGAAUUGAAUGUAGUUUGCAAAUGAUUUUAUGCAAAUAUAGUUUUUUGCUAGUUUAUGCUUAUAGUAAAAUACACACAAAAGCCUAAUUUGAAGAAAUCUUUCUCUUGUUUUUUUUUUAGUGAACUAUUACUACUACUACUACCACUACUUUCAUUUUUCUUAGUUAUUAUCAAUUCAAUCUUAUAUAUCUUUUAUUUGAUUAUCUACUACUACUACUACUACUACUAGGUACAUGAAUGGAUAGUUUGAUUAUAAUUGUGUGUUACAAGGAUGAUGAAAUAAUUGAUGGCCCAAAUGGGGUGUGUUACAAUUGUCCUUCUCAAAAAGGUGUUUUAGUGAACAAUUUGAUAAAAUAUGAUCAGUUGAAAGAUAAGUUGUGUCAUGUUAUGUCGAUUGAUCGUACUCAUACCAUGUUAUCCAUGAUAUUUCGUAUCCAAUUCUUAUGUCGAUUGGAAAUGGGAACAUUAACUAUAAAGAUGAUGAAGAUGUAAAGUUAAUGUUUCAUAUUGUUGAACAAAUCCCACCAUCAAAUACUAUUGAAAUGUACUUGUAGACAUGUUCAAGUGAUCAUUCAUCUGGGCUAAGUCCAUCAUUUGAUUAAGAAAUUACGUGUCAUGAUGUGGAAGUACUAGCAAAGGGAAUUUGGCAGUGCACACUGAUGAUAUGGAGAGGAAUUUGGCACACAAUGACAAAAUGAGGGGGAAUUUGGCAGUAGUGACUCAGUUGGUUAUGAUAGCAACAAACAACUAUCUUGACAUCCCAUUUACAAAUGAAAAUGAUGAUGUGGAAUUUUAUGAUGAGGACGAAAUUAAUAAGAAGAAUUAUGAUGAUGAACCUCCAACAAAUAAGGCUUUUUUAGAUGAUACUGAACAUAUUAUGCAUUUUCCAAUAUUUAAACAAUUGAAUUGAGAUGCAAUAAAUAGCAUGACUGCUAAGCGACUGCUAAGCCUCUCACAUCAUGUAUCGGAUUGUGGAAUGAAUCCAAUGAGUUGUUUAAAGGAUUGAGAUUUGAGAGUAAAGAAGACUUGCAAUAUGCUGUAAAACGUUAUUCAAUAUGUUGGAAUCAACAUUUGGUUGUUUGUGAAUCAGAACUACAGUUGUGGGCAGUGAGAUAUAAGAAGUGGCAGGAAGGAGGUAAUUGGAGGCUUCAUGCAUGUCGUCGUAAAAUCUAUGGAAUGUUUGAGAUAACCAAGUACACAAGUGCUCACGCUUGUGUUUAUCCCAAAUUAUCACAAGACCAAUCUCAAUUGGACUCUACAUUGAUUGCAAGAAAGAUCCAAAAUGUAGUUCAAAGGGAUCAUACCACCUCUAUUGCUACAUUGCAUUACAUAGUGAAAGAUAAAUUUGGAUACGAUGUCCACUAUAGGAGAAUUUGGGAAGCUAAGAGAAAGACAAUGCUUAGAGUAUUUGGUGAUUGGAAUGAAUCUUAUCAAGCAUUGCCGAAAUGGAUGAACAUCCUUAAGCUAACCAAUCCUAGAGCAAACAUUGUUUGGAAGACAAUACCUUUAGGAGGGAUUUUUGGGAACAUGCGUUUUAUGCGUGUCUUUUGGACAUUUAGGCCAAGUGUUGAAGGGUUCAAGCAUUGUAGACCAAUUAUAAAAAUUAAUGGUACGUUCUUAUAUGGAAAAUACAUGGGGAAGCUUUUAAUUGCUACUACAAUUGAUGCAAAUGGUCAUAUAUUCCCCCUUGCAUUUGCAAUUGUUGAAGAGAAAUCACAGGAUAGUUGGUCCUAGUUUCUUAUUACAUUAAGGUGUCACGUCACUCAAAGAUAAAGUUCAGCUCACCACACAGGAAUAAAUGUUACUGUUAGAAAUCCAUCAGUUGGAUGGAGCCCCCUCCAUGCGUAACAUUGAUAUUGUCUUAGGCAUGUAGUGAGCAAUUUUAAUGACAAAUUUAAGAAUAAUGUCUUAAAGGAGUUAACGUAUAGAGCUAGAUCUCAACAUCAACUGCAAAAGUAUGAAGGAUGUAUAGAGGAGUUAAAACGAUUAGAUCAAAAAAGUGUGGGCUAGUUUUCAAAGUUAGACACUAAAAAAUGGACUCAAACAUAUGAUCUAAGAUAUCGGUAUGGGUGGAUGACCACAAAUAUUGUUGAAUGCAUAAAUGGGAUGCUUAAGGGAGCGUGAAUGUUACCUAUCAUUGCACUUGUUCAAUUAACUUUUUAUCGAUGUGUGUCAUACUUUCAGACUCGUAAAGUAGAGAUACGUGCUAGAAUGGCAGUUGGAGAUGUGAUACUACGAAUGCAGUUGAUAAAUUUACAAGAAAUGAAGCCAAAGCUAGUGGACAUAGUGUGACUAUCUUUCAUCAAAUUAAUCAAACAUUUGAAGUAAUUACUACUCUCCAUGGGUUUCAGAUGAAUAAAGGAUGUCACAAACAAGUUCUUAAGUUGAACAAAGGUACAUGUAAUUGUAAUAACUGGCAAUCAUUUGGCAUUCCAUGCUCACAUGUGCUAGCUAUUUGUGCUCAUAUGAGAAUUGAUAGUUGGCAAUUUGUUGAAAAAUACUAUAGGGUGGAUGCUUAUGCCAACAAUUACACCCUUGAAUUUAAUCCCAUUCCACAUGAAUCUUAUUGGUCGUAUCUUGAUUUUCCUAUUCUCCACCCUGACCCAACUUUGAUGAGGGAUAAGGAGUGUCUUAGAUCAUCAAGGAUAAGGAAUGAAAUGGAUUUGAAGGAACCAAGCGUUAGGAUUUGAUGUGGUUUAUGUAAAAUAGAAAGGCAUAAUCAUUACAGCUGUCCCACAAAAGAUGGAGAGCAAUCUUCUAACCCCCUUCCUCAUGACAAUUAAAGUAUGAAAGAUUAUCCUUUUUGAUAAUAUGAUAUUUUUUUGUAAUGUCUUUAAAUUUUUAGUCAUACUAAUGUUAAUAAGAAUUAAUGGUUAUUUACUAUAUGCAAAUAUUACCGCACGAUGGAUUUGACAAUUCUACAUGGACAGGGCACACAUAGGUCAUCUCUAGCAUGGAUAGGUGUUGACUCUAAGAAGCUUCAUUAUUGACGUCGUGAUACAAUUUUUCAUCGCAACAGUGCACUCGAUGGGCGUAUUAUUUUAUUACUACAGCAGGCAAGCUUCUAUUAUGUUGCACGGUUAGGAAUCAUUUCCUUAGAUUGGCACCUUAUUAUUGCAUUUGUCGAAAGAUGACGACCUGAGACUCAUACCUUCCACUUACCUUAGGGGGAGUGCACGAUUACAUUACAGGACAUUGCCAUUCUUCUUAGACUACCAGUAGAUUGAGUUGUAGUUAUUGGUAGUACAUGUCUAGAUUGGAGACAUAUAUAUUAUUCUUUAUUAGGACUCACUCUUGGAGACACAGACAUAGAUAGGCAACACAUUCAUCUUACAUGGUUGGGUUAGCGUUUCCCUACUUUAGUACUAGAUGCUAAUGAGGAGUCUAUUUGGCAUUAUACUAGGGCUUAUAUCUUAUAACUCAUUGGAGGUUUUCUAUUUUCAGGAAAGUCUAGUGCUAAGGUGCAUCUUAUGUUUUUACCCCUUUUAGAGGAUUUUGAGGUUGCUGGUAGGUAUAGUUAGGGUAGUGCCUAUUUAACUUGGCUUUAUCGACAGUUGUGUCGAGUCUCUCAGAUUGAUACACAUGAUAUAUCUGGCCACUAAUUUUGCUCCAAUUAUAGGUAUGGGAUAGGUUCCCAUUUAUUUCACCUCAUCGUUUACAUAUAGCUACACAUGAUGACCAGUUGCCUCCACCUUCAUUAGCCAUUCGGUACAUAUUAUAAUAUUACCACAAAUUUUACUACUAUGACGAUAUAAGUAUAAACUUAAAUUCUAAAUUUUAUUUACUUAUUUAUGCUUUAUUAUUUUGUUUUUAUAGUUGGAAAGAUGAGUUCCGUACUACUUCGAUUAGCAUGCAUGUCUUAACUUAGUAUAGGCACCAUCUUGAUCGACUUACAGCAGAUCCGGUGAUAGAAGUGUGAUUCAUUUCUUAUACUUGUUUCUUUGAACAAAUUCCAGACCACUGAUUAGAUCUAACCUUUCUUGAGUAUAGAUUAUAUGGCAACCUUAUGUUGAUGACAUGAAUGUUGGUCUUCCUUAUUAUUGUACUAUUGGGAAAGAUAUAUGGUGCACUAUCUCACCUUUGAUAUGCUUCCACAUAAUUGAAUGGCAUAGACCUAAUCGAGUAUUGUGACAGUUUGGAUUUCAUCAAGGGAUUCCACAACCAUGUGAUAAUGAGUCAAUCUUACAUCAAUGUGAUUUGAGAGGUAGACAUGAUUUUGAUUAGACUACUUGACAUGGAGACUACAUUCGAUGUUGGAGCUCUAGACAUGAGCAUAUUGCUAGAGGCGAGAUGGCUAUAAGUUCAUUGGGGUAUCAAGAUCCAUACAUGGUGUGGUAUCGCUCCAUUAGUAUUUGGUUUCUUAUCUGACCAAGUCCUUCCAUGAGCUCCUGGUAAUUUUCAUGUCUUAUCUUUUUAUUAAAGUUUAUUUUAUUUUUAUAAGAAUUUAAUUUAUCUCCUAUUUGACUUACAAACUACCAACAUACGUCAGACAUAUGAUAUUACAUUUCCAAAUGAUUUGCGCAUUCGUAGAUUGUGUACUACUGUAUUAGAGGUCAUACAUGAGAUGGAUCGCUUAGAUGUUCCGUUUAGUGUUGAUGCUACUACACAAUUCCAGUCUCGAUCAAGAGAUGUAUGACCUAUAAGACGAGGGCCUUGUAGGAGGGAGAUUAUGCAUACACUAGUUGUUGUUCAAGUACGACCAUCGACUGACAUUAGUCCACCACCUCAUCAACAACCAAUAUCAUCUAUUUUUCCACAUUUGCAAGAUCAGACUCCAUUUAGUGUUGUUGCUAUUACACAACUCCAGCCUUGAUCGGGAGGUGUACCAACUAGAGGAGAAGGGACUCAUAGGAGAGGGACUAGGCAUACAUAUGUUCUUAAAGAUGCACCAUUGGUUGACCUCAACCCGCCACCUAUUAAGGAGACUCCUAUUACACUUAUGGAGGGGCCAUCCACUCUACUUGUAGUACCACUUGUUGCAUCACCACCACAACCGAUAGAGGCUACAUUGGUUGAUGAGGAGUUAGUUCAUAAAGGAAAUGAUGAUCAACGAGGAUAGAAGAAUGAUCAUGGUCGAGGACAUGGUACUAGACAUGAUUGUCAAGUACAUAGGGAGGUACAUGUCAGCCCCAUAGAGCCAAUAGUGGAACAUGCAUAUCAUGGACGUCCACAACUGAAGAGGAAGACUCUUUCAUGCAGUACACAUUAAGGAUGUUACUACAUAUGACUUGUAUUUUGGAUACUGUUAGUAUUUUCUAUAUCAUUAUUUUGGACAAAUACUCAUGAUGUAUAUUUAUAUUUGUUAUAUUUUGGUUUGACUAACUUUUUAUUAACAAAAGUUCUAUAGUAUUCUACCUAUUUUAGACUUAUUUUACCCAAAAUAGGAUUGUUACUAUUUUGGAAAGGUGUCGAUUAAAUUAGCAUUUGGUUUACUUGUUUUGAUUGAUUUUGGAUUGAAAUGUCAAAAUAUUAAUUAUAAUGUAUACAGGUGAUAUACUUUAAACAUUUGGUUGUAUACAAGGUAAUACUAAUUAAGAGAUAGAUUUUUUUUUUCUUUUGUGGAAAGAGACACCUUUAACAUAAAUUCAAAAUUUUCCACUGUGUAUGAAAAUUGUGGAAGGUGUCUCUUCAAUAUAAAUUCAAUUUUUUUGGAAUUGUAGAAAGUGUCUCUUGAAGAGACACCUUCAAUAUAAAAUAAAAUUCAAGAGACACUUGUAGUAUAAAUUAAAAUUUGUGAAAUCGUGGAAUGUGUCUCUUGAAGAGACCCCUUUAGUAUAUAUUGAAAUUUGUUGAAUUGUGGAAAGUGUCUCUUGAAGACACACUUUUAGUAUAAAUCCAAUUUUUUUGGAAUUGUAGAAGGUGUCUCUUGGAGAGACACCUUCAAUAUAAAAUCAAAUUCAAGAUACACUUGUAGUAUAAUUAAAAUUUGUGAAAUUGUGGAAGGUGUCUCUUGAAGAGACACCUUCAAUAUAAAAUCAAAUUCAAGAGUCACUUUUAAUAUAAAUUAAAAUUUGUGAAAUUAUAGAAGGUGUCUCUUCUAGAGACACCUUUAGUAUAUAUUGAAUUUUAUGGAAUUGUGGGAAGUGUCUCUUCAAGAGACACCUAUAGUAUAAAUCCAAUUUUUUUGGAAUUGUAGAAGGUCUCUUCAAUAUAAAACAAACUUCAAGAGACACUUGUAGUAUAAAUUAAAAUUUAUGAAAUUGUGGAAAGUGUCUCUUCAAGAGACACCUUUAGUAUAUAUCGGAAUUUGUGGAAUUAUGGAAAGUGUCUCUUGACGAGACACCUUUAGUAUAAAUCCAAUUUUUUUGGAAUUGUAGAAGAUGUCUCUUCAAGAGACACCUUCAAUAUAAAAUCAAAUUCAAAAGACACUUGUAGUAUAAAUUAAAAUUUGUGAAAUUGUGGAAGAGACAACCUUUAGUAUAUAUUGGAUUUUGUGGAAAUGUGGAAAUUAUUUUUUCAAGAGAUACCUUUAGUAUAAAUCCAAUUUUAUGAAAUUAUAGAAGGUGUCUCUUCAAGAGACAUCUUUAGUUUAAAUUCAAUUCUUUUAAAUGUAUAUCAAGGAUUUGAAAAUUAUGGAGGGUGUCUCUUCAAAAGACACCUUCAAUGUGGCAAAAAGUGUCAUAAAUCAAUCAAUAUUUUUCCAACUACCAUUUUUUAAGAAUUAUUUUUUAAAGUUGUUGUAGAAGUUAAAACCCCCUUACAUUUUGAUGCAUGUCUAAAUUUUAUUUAGCCAAGCAUUUGGGCUGAUAUUGAGUAAGCUUUCGGGUUGAUUUAGCUUAGAAUCAGGGCUGGUUAUUAUUUAAAAUUUGGGCUGAAUCUUUGAUCGAAUAUAGGAUGAUUUAUCCAUGAAAUAUGGGUUGUUGUCAAGCUGUUUUGAAAUAAAAAAUGUGGAUUGAUCUUGCUUUAAAAUCAAGGUUGGUGUAGAAUGAAAUUUAUAUUACCUGAUUCUAGUUUGAAAUAUGGGUUGAUUUCUGCUCAAAAGUCUAGAUUGAUUCUUACGAGGCCUUUGGGCUUAAAAAAUCUGGUUUUGUUAGCUUAAAAUGUGGGUUGUUUCUCAAGAAAUUUUGAGAUUAAAAUGUGGGUUGUUCAAUGUAAUUUUUGACUUAUUUUGAAUUCAUAAGAAUAAUAUUUUUAAGGUUAGUUUCCAUGAAACUCUUCUUAAAUCAUUUUUUUUAAUGUCUCUAGUUAUAGUUGAAUUAUCUAAUUUUGGUUAUUUCUUCUUAAAAAGUUUUUGAUACUAGUUUUGAAUGAAUUUUGAUGUUGGUUUAUUAUUUCCAUGAAAUCUCUAGUUGGUUAGUUGGGUAAUCUCAUUUUGGUUAUUUCUCUUUAAAAAUAUUUUGCUAAUAGUUUUGAAUGAAUUUUAAUGUUUGUUUAUUAUUUCCAUGAAAUCUCUAGUUUGUCAGUUGGGUAAUCUCAUUUUGGUUAUUUCUCUUUUAAAAAAAAAAAACCUUUUGAUAAUAGUUUUGAAUAAAAUUUGAUGCUAGUUUAUUAUUGGGAGAAUUGUGUUUUCAACCUAGCUAGGUUGGGUAAUUGAGGUAAAGUCCUCAUACCACUCAUAAUUAAAUCUAAAACCCAAUGAAAGAGUAGAAAUUGAGAAAAAGGAUAUUGUCUUUAAAAAUUCCUAAAAUACCCUUGACUAUUAAAUGUAAAAAACUAAUUAUAUAUAACCAAUCACCUCACCUUUCUCAUUCUUUCUUUGAUUCGUUUACCCUUCUCUCACCUAUUUAAUAGUGGAACCAAGUUGAAUCAUUUUUCUUCAUCAAAUUGAAUAUGAAAUAUGGUUAAAAAUUAUUAUUUCCAAAUGCAUUUUUGAAAUGAAUAACUUUUAAAUACCUCAUCAAAUAUUAUUCCUUUUUCCAACUUACAUAAUAUAUAAUAAAUAUUUUUUAAAUAUGUUGAAAACUUACAUAAUAUAUAAUAAAUAUUAUUCUUUAUUUCAAACUUAUAUUAUUUCUCAUAUAAUUAAAUAAUUUUUAAACACCUCAAUAAAUAUUAAUAUUAUUUGUUUGUUCUAACUUGUAAAUUAUAUAUCAUCAAAUAUUUUUUUUUUUUCAAAUUUAUAGAACAUAUAAUAAAUACUUUUUAAAUACCUCAUAAAAUAUUAUUAAUUUUUUUUUCUAACUUGCAAAUUAGACACACAGUGUUUAUUAUUUCUCAUAUUAUUUCGAAAAUAAUGUAAACACUCACAUGCAUAUAUAUAUAUAUAUUAAUCAAGAAGACAAUAUUUAUAAGACUAAUUUAUCAACCUUCCAAUAAUUUUGAAAGUGUAAAUAAGGUAAUUGGCCAAAUUAAAGUCUUCAAAAUAUUCAAAAUUUCUCCAUUCCAAAAUUAUCUAAUUGUUCCCACACUAAUCCUAAAUAUUUUUUAAUAAAGAUUUAAAUAUUUAAAACCAUUAAAAUAAAUAUUUUCUUAUUAAAGAAAUUUUUUCAAAGUAAUAAGAUAAAAAUCAUGAAAACUUCAAAACUAUAAUUACAACAAAUAUUUUAAAUUUUAAAACUAAUUUCAUAAUUUAAAUUAAUGAUUUUAAAAAAUAAAAUGUUAUAAAAAUAAUUUUUUUAUUUUUAAUUCCAUUUAAAUAUGAUUUUUUUAAUCUCUAUUGAUAACAAUGAAAUUAUGUUUAUAAAGGCAAAAUAGUAAAAAAAAAAAUCAUUUAGUUUACUUAUAAUGAACAAUUCAAACAUGAUUGAUUUUAAUUUUAUUUCCUAUGUGUUAAUUUUUGUAGGGAAUGUCUUAAUGACGUAGUUUGGUAAAAAAAAAAAAAAAAAACUAUCAAUAAUCGUCUUAAUGUCAAACUCAAGUUGUUUAAAAAUCGCACAAAACCUAUUACGAGUCUUGUACGCCCUUGUACACUUGGCACAUUUUCCUUGUACAGUUAGUGUAAUACCCUUGUACAAUGACACGAAUUUCAUAUCUCUCCUAAAUUAUAUGUCCAUGUAGAUGUAUUAAUCAUAUUUUCAAUGGUUUGAUUGAGAAAAUAGUGAAUAACUUAGGGUCAAUUUUUUUUUUUUCCAAAUAUCAUUAUUGGGGAAAUAUUGGAAUUUUCAUGUGAGAGUUAAAUAAAGUGCAUGACAUAGGUGUACAAUCCUUAGGUGACAAGGAAAAUAAAAAAGUGGUUUAGAAUCGAUUGAAAUCAUUCACAAAGGAUAAUCUUGUACACCUUUAUACAAUUAGUAUAUUUUCCUUGUACAGUGAGUGUAAUACCCUUGUGCAAUAACACAAAUUUCAUAUCCCUUCUAAGUUAUGUGUCCACGUAGGAGUGUUUAACCAUAUUUCCAAUGGUUUAAUUGAAAAGAUGGUGGAUGACUUAAGGUCAAAAAAAUUUUCCCCAUAUAUCAUUAUUGGGGAAAGUAUUGAAAUUUCCAUGCGGGAAUUAAAUAAAGUGCAUGAUAUAUGUGUACAAUUCGUGAGUGAUAAGAAAAAUAAAAGAAUGACUCAUAAUUGAUUGUAAUAUUUCACAAAUGGUAGCCUUGUACACCUUUGUACAAUUAGUACAUUUCCCUUGUACAGUUAGUGUAAUACAAUUGUAUAGUGGCGCAAUAAAUGAAUAAAUGAUUUUUUUUAUUUUCAUAUAAAAAAAUAGUACUAAACAAGGUUUUCAAUUUUCAUUUUUAAAAAUAGUUUUCAUUUUUUAAUUAAACGUAUUUUCAAAAAGAGACAAUAUAGAAAAUAAAAAUUAUUUUUAAAAAUAAAAAUAAAAACUAGAAAAAUAUUUUAAAACCAAACUCAAAUAUAAUCUAUAUAAUUUUUAACUACUUGUUUUCAUUUAAAAUAAGUAAAUAUACCUUUCAACCCUUUUAAAUAAGAAAAAUUCAAUAUCUACUAUGUAUUGAUAUAAUUCACUUCUAAAAUUAGGUCAUAUAAAAACAUUUUAAUUGAGUACUUAAAAUAAAAACUCUUCAUCCAUCCUCUUUCUUUCUUUUUCUUUUUCUUAUUUUAAUAAAUUUUCAAUUAAUUCAAAUCAUUAAAGAAAAUACUUAGUAAACAAAUUUGUAACGUUUCAUAUAACUUAGUACUAAAAGUCAUGUUCAAAAAGUUAUUAAAGAAUGAAGAAAAUUAAAAAAAUUAAACUUUUUAUUUUAUAAUAGUAAAAAAAAACUUUAAAAUACUUUUUACUAUAAAAGAAAUUAAAAUAGUGAAUAUAUUUAUUUUAAAUAGUGUUUUAAUCAUUAAAUUAUUUACUUCUAAAAUGUAAAAGAUAAAAAUAAAUGUAAAAGAUAAUUUUUAUUUAUUUAAAUUAAUAUUUUUUUUAGAAAGUAUUUUCCAAAAUAGUCUUUGAAUCAUUAAUAUAAUUUUUUUUAUAUAAUUUAAAAAUAAAAAAUAAUGUUGAUUUUUCAAUUAUUUAUAAAAUAGUUUAAACAAAUAAUGAAAAAUCUAAAAAUGAUUAAAUAAGAAAUAAUAGUGGCAUGUGAAGAGUGGUAGAAUAAAGACAAAAAUAAGUCAAAUGGGUAUUUUUAUCAAUUACUAUCUUAUAUCCUUGUAAUCAAUUAUGGGUGGUUGGAGCACUUUACCUUAAUUAUCAAGUUUGAAAACAAAAUUUUCCCUCUAUUAUUUCCAUGAAACAACUAGUUGUUAGUUGGGUAAUCUCAUCUUAUUUAUUUCCCUUUAAAAAAAUAUUUGAAUGCUAGUAUUUUUAAAAAAUUUCAUUUGAUGUUAUACUUAGUUAAUUUUUUUUUUGUAUUCAUAGGUUUUAAAAAUUUAUUGGAUCUAUGUUAGUUUCAUCUUUUUUAUGUUGAUUGUCUUAGUAAAAAUUCAUUAGAUAUUUUUGUGGAUAAAUCCUCAUGCUAGUAUUUUUUUUUUUUAAAUAUUCAUUAUAUGCUAUACUUGAUUAAAUUUUCUAAAGAUUUAUUGAAUGUCUAUUAAGUUAAAUUUUUAUGAUGAUUGCUUUAGUGAAAAUUCAUUAGAUGUAUUGUUCAUUAAAUCCUAAUGCUAUUUUAUAUAUAUUGAUUUGAUGUUAUACUUUAAAUUUUUGUGUUAGUAAUUUUUAAAAAUUCACUAAAUCUCUAUUAGUUUUGUUUUUUUGUUUUUUUUUGUUUUUUUUAUGUUGAUUGUAUUAAUAGAAAUUCAUUAGAUGUUUUUUUGGUUAAAUCCUCAUGCUAGUUUAUAUAUGUAUAUUCAUUUGAUGUUAUAUUUGGUUAAAUUUUUGUGAUAGUAUGUUUUAAAAAUUUAUUGAAUCUAUAUUAGUUUCAUUUUUAUAUUGAUUGUCUUAGUAGAAAUUCAUUAGAUGUAUUUUUGGAUAAAUCCUUAUGCUAUUACUUAUUAAAUAUUCAUUUGAUGUUAUACUUAAUUUAAUUUUCAUGUUAGUAGAUUUUAAGAAUUUAUUGAAUAUCUAUUAAGUUAAUUUUUUUAGGUUGAUUGCCUUAGUAAAAAUUCAAGGAGCCUAUUUCAAUUUAUAUAGUGUACGUGGAUACGAUUCCAAGUUAUUCCACCACAACCUCAAUCCAAUCAAGCAAACAACUUGGCAAAAUUAUUUUUAGUGAUAUAAUCACCAAAGAUGUGGAUUCGUCGGGUGGGAACUGAAGAAAAUUUAAACAGCAUAGGAUCACAUGUUGACAUUUAAGCAUGCAUUGAACGGCAAAAACGGAAACGCUCACCUUGGUUAAUUCCGUGAAAAGCCAUUUCUUGCUCUUUUCUGGUAUUCAGGAAGCUCCUCCAGUGCUUGAUGGUGCGAGAAUUACGGGUUAAUGAGCUCUUCCCUUCUACACCAAGAUUCAGUCCAAAACGAGAGUGCGCGCACUCUUUCAGCCAAAGGAGGAAGGAGCAAGGGGCCAAGCCUUUCGAGAAAAGCCCCUUUUUAUUCUUUUAUAUAUAUAUCACACACAUUAUUUAGACCACCACUUGACUUAAUGGGCCAGUAAAGUGAAUUAGGGUGAGCCCAUAAAAAAUCAAGCAACAAUAUGUGUCCAGUCCCAUUAUGGACCACAAUGCAAAAAUAAAUAACACUGAUUUAUGACAUUAUUAAAUUGAUUAUGUAAGUCCACACAUAAAAAUUCCAACAAUCUCCCACUUGGACUACAUAAUCAAACAUUACAACAUACACAUAAUCAUAAAUCAAUGUCUCAUAGAAUCUCAUCAGAAAUAAAUAAUCAAAAGCAAUCAUGUAUGCUUCAUUGCUUGAUUCAUAGGGAAAUGUACAAUAAUAGCAAUCCUUUCAACAAUAACAUAGUAUUACAAUACCAAAAAAUGGUUCCCACUAACUCAAUACAACCUAGGCUUCCAACAACCCCAUUUGAGAUACAUGUUCUUGAAACGCAAUUAUGGGUAAGCCUUUUGUUAAUGGAUCCGCUAACAUACUUUUUGUGGACAUGUGUUCAAUAUCAAUAAGAGACUCUACCACUUUCUCCUUAACAAAAUAGAACUUUACAUCAAUAUGUUUGGAGCGAGAAAUACUCCUAGUGUUCUUGGAGAAAGUAACAACUACGGAAUUAUCACAAAAUAAUUUUAGCGGUCUAGAAAUGGAGUCAACAACUCCUAAAGCUGAAAUAAAAUUCCGCAUCCACAUAGCAUGACAACAAGCCUCAUAACAUGCCACAUACUCUGCCUCCAUAGUUGAGGAUGCUGUAAGUGUCUGCUUGACACUUUUCCAAGAUACAACUCCUCCUGCCAUCAUAAAAAUAUAGUCCAUAGUGGAUUUCUUAUCAUCUAUGCAGCCAGCAAAAUCAGCAUCACAAAACCCAACUACAUCAAGUAAGUUGGUGCGCUGAUAUGUCAACAUUAAGUCCUUAGUUCCUUGCAAAUACCUAAGGACCUUCUUAGCUGCUUUCCAAUGUUGACUCCCAGGAUUGCUCAAGUACCUUCCCAACAUGCCCACAACAAAAGCAAUAUCAGGGCGUGUACAUACUUGAGCAUACAUAAGGCUGCCCACCAUAGAUGAAUAAGGAAUGGUCUUCAUUUCCUCUCUCUCGUCAUCAUUUUGAGGACACUGAGCCUUUGAAAAUUUAUCACCCUUCACAAUUGGCGCUUUAGUAGAUUUACAGUUGUGCAUAUUGAACCUCUUCAAUAUCUUUUCAAUAUAGGCUCUUUGAGAUAAUUUAAGCACUCCAAUAGCCCUAUCACGAAGAAUCUUUAUGCCCAAGACAUAAGAAGCCUCACCAAGAUCCUUCAUGUCAAAAUGGGUUGACAACAUGUGCUUUGUCUCAAACAACAAGUCAGAAUCAUUUUAUGCGAGUAGUAUAUCAUCAACAUAUAAAACAAGAAAUAUGUAACUACUCCCACUGACCCUCAAAUAUAUGCGUCUGUUAACUGUAUUCUCUUUAAAACCAUUUUGGGUGAUAAUACUAUCAAACUUUAGAUACCACUAGAUCUUUCAUCAACAGAGCUCACAUCUUCAAAAUAUACAACCCUGUCUAACUCAAUGAUCUUGGUGGUAUGAGAUGGACAAUAGAAUCUGGAACCCCUUGAUCCAAUGCAAUAACCAACAAAGAAACCACUAAUGGUUUUAGGAUCAAGUUUCUUUGACUGUGGAUUAUAUGGCCUAACCUCAGCCUUACAUCCCCAAACAUGGAAAUGGUGAAGGCUGGGCUUCUUUCCUGACCAUAGCUCAUAAGGUGUCUUAAACACAGACUUACUAGGCACUUGAUUCAAAAUAUAUGCCGCAGUCCUUAAGGCUUCACCCCACAAAAAUUCUGGUAAGGAGGAAUUAGACAACAUGCACCUCACCAUAUCCAACAAUGUGCGAUUCCUCCUUUCUGCAACCCCAUUCUGUUGAGGAGUGUCUGACAUUGUAUAUCUAGCAUCAAUGCCGCAUUCCAACAGAAACUUAGCGAAUGGUCCAGGAUUCCGUCCAGUCUCAUCAUAUCUCCCAUAAUACUCGUCAUCUCUAACCAAUCUCUCUAAUCUUUGCCUAGAAAUAUGACCUAGGCGUUUGUGCCACAAUAUGGAAGAACUCAAAUUUACUUGGCUUAUCAACUCUCAAAGCCCAGUCCAAAAUGUGCAUAGCCAUAUGCACAUUGAAAGACUCAAAACAUUCCUCAAAAUUAUUCCAGUAAGAGGUUUGAUGGCAGACAAUUGCAGAGUAAUACCAGGAUUGCUAGUAGCUGGAAAAUAGCAAAUUAAGCAAUAUGCAUGUUACUACAAAAUCAUGCAUUUGCUAGUUUCCAGAAUUUCUCAAUUUAGCAACAGCUUGGAAUUUUGAAAAUUCCACGGCGGUAAGGACAACCAAUUAAAUAUCACAACCAAGAUGCACUAAUUUUAUUACCGAAAGGGCAAAGAAAAUUAGUACGAUUCAUAAUAUAAAAUAAAUUUCCUUCACCAAUCCAAACAUCCUACCAAAUAUUAUAAUCAUCGAUAGGACAAUCACAAUACCCGUAUGGACCUUAGUUAUCACAAUAAUAAAACAAUCAAAAGAGGGAGAUAAAAUAUCUCAACAAAGACAAUUUGACACAUAUAGGAUCACGAUAGGCAACCACACAUAUGUUCACUAUUAUCAUGUAUAAAAUUAAAAAUAUCUUAAUUUUCACAAUUUGACACACUUGGAAUUGCGAUAGGCAAUCACACAAGUGUGCUUCAUUGCCUCAAUAAAUUGAAAUAUUUAACAAAAUUGACAUAGGACAACAUUAUUGAUAUAAGGAAAAAUUAUACCAUAAAGAACAAUAAUAAUAAUAAUUGUCCCAAUAAAGUCAAAUUUAACAAAUGCAUAAUAAUUCUAGCAUAUGCACAAUCAAUCCAAUAAUACCAAGGCAACAAACAAACAAAAAAAAAAAAUUGUUUUUUUUUUUUUUUUUUUUUUGACAUCAUCACGUCACUAUUCAUCUCCUUCCCCAGCUGAACACGGCCUGGUGCAAGAGAAAAAUUUUUUUUCCUUUGUUCGGCCAAAAUUUUGGGCAUUUUCCGACAAAAAACGCUUAGAUUUCCAUCCUCAAACAUCAAGCCUUCAAUCUAAUCCCAAAAUUUGCACAAAAAACGCAUAAUAGGAAGAACCAAAGCAAGCUCUAAUUCUCGAAAUCCCACCAAACAAGCUCAAAAAUCAAAUAAAAUGAUGGGUUUUGCUCCAAACAAUAUUCUCUACAAGUUUCCAACAACAAUCGGGCUUGAAAACAGAGAAUCAACAUCAAACGAGAAAUAAAAUUUCAAAAAAAAUGGUUUCCACAACAGGAAACGGAAAACCCAAAAAUAACCCAAAAUUGCAGCUCAAAUGUCAUCCAUGCUAGCUCUGAUACCAAUUGAAGAAAAUUUAAACAGCAUAGGAUCACAUGUUGACAUUUAAGCAUGCAUUGAACGGCAAAAACGGAAACGCUCACCUUGGUUAAUUCCGUGAAAAGCCAUUUCUUGCUCUUUUCUGGUAUUCAAGAAGCUCCUCCAGUGCUUGAUGGUGCGAGAAUUACGGGUUAAUGAGCUCUUUCCUUCUACACCCAGAUUUAGUCCAAAACGAGAGUGCGCGCUCUCUUUCAGCCAAAGGAGGAAGGAGCAAGGGGCCAAGCCUUUUGAGAAAAGCCCCUUUUUAUUCUUUUAUAUAUAUAUCACACACAUUAUUUGGACCACCACUUGACUUAAUGGGCCAGUCAAGUGAAUUAGGGUGAGCUCAUAAAAAAUCAAGCAACAAUAUGUGUCCAGUCCCAUUAUGGACCAUAAUGCAAAAAUAAAUAACACUGAUUUAUGACAUUAUUAAAUUGAUUAUAUAAGUCCACACAUAAAAAUUCCAACAGGAACGUGUUCAUAAUUAAAAGAGAAAAGAAAAUGAUAAAAGACGACCCUCGUUUUAUUCACCUCUAUUUUAAGGAGAGGUUUUGUACGUCUCUGCUUAUAGGUUCAGAGAAUCCCACAUCACAAGGAGAUCACAUCGAUAGCAGCCAACACUAAUAGAAUUGAGAAGGAAGGCGUGGGGUGAGGAUGACUUCCAGAGGAGUCAGCUUAGCCAAGGUAAUACUCAGGCCUUCUCUCAUGUCCACCGGAGCGUUCAAUGGUGUUGACAAGUCAAACCCUUGAAGCAGCCGACCAAUCACCAAGGGUAACAAUUUUAAGGCCAUGGUGAUCCCUGGGCAAGAUCUUCUGCCAGAACCAAAUGGGAUGAGCUCAAAAUGCUGCCCCAAAACAUCUAAAUCUGCAUGGCUCGUCAGAAACCUUUCCGGCUGAAAAUCUUCAGGGUCGGACCAGACACUUGGGUCACGGUGCAACUUCCACGCAUUCACGAACAAGCGGGUGCCUUUUGGAAUGUGGUAGCCAGCAACAUGACAGUCUUCCAUGGCUUCGUGUGGCACAGAUAGAGGAGCUGCUGUGUAUAGCCUCAGGGUUUCCUUGAUAACGGCUUGAAGGUAAAGCAGGUUUGGAAUAUCCGAUUCUUCCACCCACCUGCCUCUACCAACUUUUAGAUCUAGCUCCUCUUGAGCACGCUUCAAAGCAUGUUUAUUGUUUAAUAAUGCAGACAGAAGCCAUGUGGAGGUUGUAGCCACAGUCUCAGUGCCUCCCACUAUGAGAAUCUGCAUAAGUUUAAAAUUGUAGAAAUUUACCAAAAAAAAUUGAAGCUAUGACCCAAAUGCAUAAAAUAGCUUAAAAAAAAACAAAAAAACUGGAGAUCUUGAAAAAUAUUCAACAUUACUUGAAAAACUAACUUCUUGUCCAAUUCCACAAUUAUAUAUAGAGUAAGAAAGAAGAUAAAGAAAAAUAUGACAUAUAAUUCUCAUUGAUUGAUGAU
rnacentral:lncRNA from 1 species